rnacentral:rRNA from 1 species
AUUGAACGCUGGCGGCAGGCUUAACACAUGCAAGUCGAACGAGUGGCGGAGGGGUGAGUAAUGCUUGGGAAUCUCGCUUAUGGAGGGGGAUAACUUGGGGAAAAUGUAGAUAAUACCGCGUACCAUAGGGUGAGCCCAAGUGGGUUUAGGUAGUUGGUGAGGUAAAGGCUCACCAAGCCGACGAUCUCUAGCUGGUCUGAGAGGAUGACCAGCCACACUGGGACUGAGACACGGUCCAGACUCCUACGGGAGGCAGAAGUGGGGAAGAUUGCACAAUGGGGGAAACCCUGAUGCAGCCAUGCCGCGUGUAUGAAGAAGGUCUUCGGAUUGUAAAGCACUUUAAGUUGGGAGGCGUUACCAACAGAAUAAGCACCGGCUAACUUCGUGCCAGCAGCCGCGGUAAUAC